rnacentral:lncRNA from 1 species
GGGGCGAGGUACUUUGCAAAUCGCAAGGCGGGAAAAGGAGGGCGGAGGGCAGAGCCUGGCCGCAUUCAUUUAUGACCCAGACAUAGUUUAGGAUCGUGCCAAGCAUUAGAAAGUGUCAGAGACAAAAAGGAGUAGAAAUAAAUUAAUUUAUACUCUAGCAAAAGGUUAACAAGAGGUGCCAGAAGGUUGCAGAGCAAGAGGGUGGGGCUGAAGGAAGGCAGCAAUAGACUGCAACAUUUCUUAACAUUAUUUAGAUUAGCUAAGAAUGAUCUCACAUUUUUCACUUGGGAGCCAUACUACCAGCUAGGGCUGGGGUAGACAUGCGUGCCGAAGGUGGCACGUGAGCGGAUGUUCAGUGGCACUCACACUGCCCAGGUCCUGGCCACUGGUCCAGGAGCUCUGCAUUUUAAUUUAAUUUUAAGUGACGCAUCUUAAACAUUUUAAAAACCUUAAUAGUUUAGUUAUAUAUUAUAGACUUAUAGAAAGAGACCUUCUAAAAACAUUAAAAUGUACUACUGGCAUGCGAAACCUUAAAUUAGAGUGAAUAAAUGAAGACUCGGCACACCACUUCUGAAAGGUUGCCGACCCCUGAGCUAGGGCCUACUGGGAAGGGCAGCCUGUACAAAAGACAGGAAGGCCUUGGGCUGGUGUGUAAAUACUCUCUCUCUUUUAUACAGAAAUUACCAGCAUACACAGCAGAGAAGAUUGCUAAAUAAAUGUACAAUUAUUAACUCCUUAUUACAACCACAGAUACUAAACCACUGCACAAACUAUUGGAGAGACAUCAUCACUGAUAUGCUGCACAUUUGAAAUGCAGAGAUACAGUGAAAGGAAAUCUGGAGCAAGCACUCUGGGGCAAAUCCCCAUUCUUAUGAAACAAAGAGUUAUGCAGCCCUGAACACCAUUGACCUGUUUGAAAAGGGUGAAGGAGGUUUCGGCUGCUAGAAUCUGAACCUGUUGUUAGAGGGUGUAAAGAGUAGUGACUUAACCUAAGACCACUAAGUCUCUAAAAAGGCUCAGUCCAACUUCAAACAGGAGUUGGAUCAGGCCCACAGCUGACUAAAUGGUUGGUUUGCGGAAGACAUUUUUAGGUGGUCUCUUUCUAUAAGUCUAGAAUAUAUAACUAAACUAUUGUAUGUAAAAGUAAAUAAGGUUUUUAAAAUGUUUAAGAAGCUUCAUUUACAAUUAAAUUAAAAUACAGACACCCUCCCCCCAGACCGGUGGCCAGGACGCAGGCAGCGUGGGUGCCAGUGAAAAUCAACUUGCGUGCCACCUUUGGCAUGCAUGCCAUUGGUUGCCUACCCCUGGUUUAGAGCGUGAAAGAUGUUAAUGUUUUAAAAGUGAUGGGGAAUAAUGCAUUUUGAGAGGCUAUUACUAUGAUAGAAUGCUUCCCAAUCAU